rnacentral:rRNA from 1 species
AAGUAAAUAAGGGCGUAUGGCGGAUGCCUUGGCUCUCAGAGGCGAUGAAGGACGUGAUAAGCUGCGAUAAGCUGCGGGGAUUAGCACAUAUGAAUUGAUCCGCAGAUUUCCGAAUGGGACAACCCAAUAUAUUGAAGAUAUAUUAUUCGAAAGAAGGCUAACCCGGAGAACUGAAACAUCUAAGUACCCGGAGGAAGAGAAAACAAUAGUGAUUCCGCAAGUAGUGGCGAG